GUUAAGGUUGAAUCAUCAAAUGAAUGAUUAAUUGACCUGUGAGCAAAAGAUAUUGUCUACAGUUUACAAAACCUUCAAGUGAGAAGUUUCUUGGUCAAUUGGGAUUAGUCUAUGGUUGCUAAUAUUUCCAUUAACUGCAGUUUAGCAAUUUACUCAUGGUUACGUUGGUGUACUGCUCCGGCGUCAUCUUGCUGGUACUGCUGAUCUCGGGCUUAUUAACAAACCAACCUAGAAUUACCUCUGCAUCUACUUGGUCAGUACCUGAGGCUCCAGUAUGUUGGAUUAUGGGUUUAUGGAGAUUUUGCCAACUAUAUUGCUGAAGGUUUCUAAUGUCCGUGCUUGAAACAAGUCUUAAGAACUUUUUCAAUACCAUUACAGGCCUCAGACAUGUCUGUCAGCUCUGGGAUGGCAGGAUUCAGGUUAAGCAGCUUAUGCGGAGACCUCAAAUGAUUACUUAAAAGCUGCAGCCAGAAAGAGUUUGAUUACUGAAAAAAUCAUACCAAACACGGCAAUCCCAAAAUACUCUUGAUUUAUUUGGGUUUUCUUUAGCGCUGGAAAUGGUUACAUCCUGACACGCGGGACAGAAGCAAGGUCGCAUUGUGUAUUCCACGGACCAGCAAAUUCCGGCCGGCUUAGCGAAGAGAGCGGCAGACAACCCUGCUGAAAUCCAGAGGAAAACACACAGAGGAUGCAGAGGGGGAUCACAAAGCUGAGGAAAGAGGACCAGGACAACAGAGACUUUUGGAGAAGAGGAGUUCGGUGGAUAAUACCGUUCCGCUUGACCGGAAGUGCACCGAGAGUGGUAAGCGUAAAGGAGUUGGGUGCUUACUGAUCUGGUUAACAACGGAUGGUGCAAUCCGAGGUAUAUUACGAUCGAGGAAUGUGUUUGCAGACUGGAUAUUGAACUUUUUACUGUUGGACUUCGGCCACAUUCCACCGUGAUACAACACUUGGUGGCACGGGAGGUCGUUCCUGCCUGUGGCCAUCGAACGUGCAGCUCCUCCUGUGGAGGGUCAGACACCCUGAGCCAAUAGACUGGUCCUGGACUUAUUUUCCAUCUGGUGUCCUAAGAAACAGUUUGGCAUUGUGGAGAAAAUGAAGAACAUGUAAUGAGUAAUUCUGAGUGACUUCACAGAGUGAACUGAAAUGUAUCUGACACAAUCAAUGAAAGGAACGUGAUGUCCCUGCAGGGUAAGGAGUACUUUGCCUGAAUAUGACAAGCAGAGAAAAACCUUUCACCACAAGCACAGAGCUGUGAUAUUUGCAGCAAAUAGGGAGCAAUAAAUGAACUGGCAUUCCAAACACCAUAUUUUUUAGAAGGGAGAGCGACUUGUACAAUACAUUUUUUUGAUUUAAGAUAAAUAAUUUAAUGUGACUGUGUUUACCCAUGAUAAAUGUGUCCAAUUUUUAUGGUGACAUGCUUUGACAGGAUUCCCAGAGAACUGAAGUGGAUGGUGCCACACUUUGUAAGUUUGUUUAAUGACAUGUAAACUAAGUUGUUGUGAAAAUAUGCAUUGAAUUCAAAUUUGGCAGACUUGUUUUAAUAGCUUCUAUUUUUUUUAAUAACCGAGCAAUCAACUUUGAUGGAUGACUUUGAACACAAAGAAAACAAAGUAAUCAGGUUAAGUCCUGAUGCAGGCUUGCAAUCUGAGUCAGCAACCAUUUCUUUGCCUCCACAGAUGCUGCUUGAACUGCUGGGUAUUUCCAGCAUUUUGCUUAUUGCUCCAGAUUUCACUGUCUCUUUUAGUCAAAUUAAAAUGUAAGUGGAUGUUAGACCAUUAGACAUAGGAGCAGAAUCAGGCCAUUCAGCCCAUCGAAUCUGCUCUGCUAUUUCAUCAUGGCUCACUUACUAUCCGUCUCAACCCCAUUCUCCUGCCUUCUCUCUGUAACCUUUGACACCUCGACUAAUCAAGAAAUUAUCGUCCCCCACUUUAAAUAUACCCAAUAACCUGGCUUCCACAGCCGUCAGUGGCAAUAAAUUCCAUAGAUUUACUACCUUUGGCUAAAGAAAUUUCCUCUAAUCUCUGUUCUAGAUGGAUGUCCCUCAAUUCUGAGGCUGUG